rnacentral:pre_miRNA from 1 species
CUUGUACUCCCUCCGUCCGAAAAUACUUGUCAUUGAAAUGGAUGUAUCUAGAUGUAUUUUAGUUCUAGACACAUCCAUUUUGAUGACAAGUAAUUCCGGACGGAGGGAGUAUGUG